CCGCCCCAACGGCUUCCUGACGGGGCGGAUCAUAAAACACUGGAGCA
rnacentral:ncRNA from 1 species